CGUGUUAGUUGCAAAAUAAUUUACGUGUGUCCCGAUCAAGGAUUCGCUCCGGAAACGAUAAAUACGCAUGAGAAAACUGAGUGUUGUUCAGAGUGUGACAAAAGAGACAGUCAAUAGAAGAAAGCAGAUGAUUAUAACAGCAUUUUCUUCAUAUGCGAGCGCGACUGUGCUCCAAGCUUGCAGUUCUGGCGAGGUCCUGGGAAAAACUGCUUUUUCGAAGAGAUCGAUGGAUAGCACAAUAAAAACUUUAUUUUUCGUCCAACAUCAAUUGGCAUCAGCUGGCGCUGACCGGAAGCAUCCAGAAGAUCUCUCUUCCAAGCGUUCUUGAGAAUAUGCAACAGCGAAAUCUCACCCGGAUUGUGUCCCUUCCACGUCAACUCAGGGGGAUAAAGGCUUUUUUGUAAUUUCGAGGAGAGUGUAGCUGUAGACUCUCUUGUGAGGUACAUGCAGAGAAACCCAGCAGUGGUGCUAUAAAAUUGAUUGUUUUUGUGUAACUUGAUUGAAUGAAAAAUAAAAACUAAAGCGGUCUUUUCAAUGUGAA